rnacentral:rRNA from 1 species
UUAUAGUUUAUUUGAUGAAAAGUACUACUUGGAUAACCGUAGUAAUUCUAGAGCUAAUGCAUGAUAAAAUCCUCGACUUUGAAGAGGUGUAUUUAUUAGAAUGAAACCAAUAGACUUCGGUCUGUUUGUGAGUAAUAAUAACUAAUCGUAUCGCAUGCUUAGGUAGCGAUAUGUCUUUCAAGUUUCUGCCCUAUCAGCUUUGGAUGGUAGUGUAUUGGACUACCAUGGCAGUAACGGGUAACGAAGAAUUUGGGUUCGAUUUCGGAGAGGGAGCCUGAGAGAUGGCUACCACAUCCAAGGAAGGCAGCAGGCGCGUAAAUUACCCAAUCCUGACAUAGGGAGGUAGUGACAAUAAAUCACAAUGCGGAACUAUUAGUUUUGCAAUUGGAUUGAGAACAAUGUACAAAUGUUAUCGAUAAACAAUUGGA